UGGGGAAUAUUGGACAAUGGGCGCAAGCCUGAUCCAGCAAUGCCGCGUGUGUGAAGAAGGCCUGCGGGUUGUAAAGCGCUUUCAGUGGGGAAGAAAAGCCCUGGGUGAAUAGCUUGGGGUUUUGACGUUACUCACAGAAGAAGCACCGGCUAACUCCGUGCCAGCAGCCGCGGUAAUACGGAGGGUGCGAGCGUUAAUCGGAAUCACUGGGCGUAAAGCGCACGUAGGCGGCCGAGUCAGUCUGCUGUGAAAUCCCCGGGCUCAACCUGGGAACGGCAGUGGAUACUGCUUGGCUAGAGUUUGAAAGAGGGGGGUGGAAUUCCAGGUGUAGCGGUGAAAUGCGUAGAGAUCUGGAGGAACACCAGUGGCGAAGGCGGCCCCCUGGUUCAAAACUGACGCUGAGGUGCGAAAGCGUGGGGAGCAAACA
rnacentral:rRNA from 1 species